rnacentral:rRNA from 1 species
GGUAUUGGAUAUCCGCGUCCAAGCAGUUAGGCUGGGAAAUAGGCAAAUCCGUUUCCCGUGAAGGCUGAGCUGUGAUGGCGAGCGAAAUUUAGUAGCGAAGUUCCUGAUUCCACACUGCCAAGAAAAGCCUCUAGCGAGGUGAGAGGUGCCCGUACCGCAAACCGACACAGGUAGGCGAGGAGAGAAUCCUAAGGUGAUCGAGAGAACUCUCGUUAAGGAACUCGGCAAAAUGACCCCGUAACUUCGGGAGAAGGGGUGCUUCUUAGGGUGUUAAAGCCCCGAGAAGCCGCAGUGAAUAGGCCCAGGCGACUGUUUAGCAAAAACACAGGUCUCUGCGAAGCCGUAAGGCGAAGUAUAGGGGCUGACGCCUGCCCGGUGCUGGAAGGUUAAGAGGAGCGCUUAGCGUAAGCGAAGGUGCGAAUUGAAGCCCCAGUAAACGGCGGCCGUAACUAUAACGGUCCUAAGGUAGCGAAAUUCCUUGUCGGGUAAGUUCCGACCCGCACGAAAGGCGCAACGAUCUGGGCACUGUCUCAACGAGAGACUCGGUGAAAUUAUAGUACCUGUGAAGAUGCAGGUUACCCGCGACAGGACGGAAAGACCCCGUGGAGCUUUACUGCAGCCUGAUAUUGAAUGUUGGUACAGCUUGUACAGGAUAGGUAGGAGCCUUGGAAACCGGAGCGCUAGCUUCGGUGGAGGCAUCGGUGGGAUACUACCCUGGCUGUAUUGACCUUCUAACCCGCUGCCCUUAUCGGGCAGGGAGACAGUGUCAGGUGGGCAGUUUGACUGGGGCGGUCGCCUCCUAAAAUGUAACGGAGGCGCCCAAAGG